UGACCAAUUAAAGGAAUUUCAAUUUUUUAAAAUAAAAGCAGCCACUGCAUAAACCUGUUACUGCUGUUUGCACUGUUCUAGGCCUGGUUUAGGAGCAGGGCUCCUUGAAAUUCCAUAUUACCUCAGUGAUUAUGCUAAUAGGAUUAGAACAAAGAUCAGUUGUUUCCAGAAACAGUUUUAAAAAUAACAUUUGGUGGAAAAGCACUUAGUUCAGAAUUUGAACUUCAGAAAAAUUUGGUUUUACUUGCACUUGAACCCUAGGAUUGCAGUAUUUCUGCCAGUCACUAGUAUACAUUACUCUCUUGACUCAGUCAUAGAAUAGAAACUACAUAGAUUACUGUCCUAAUCAUACAAAAAUAGAGGUAAGUAGAAGGCAGCAAGAGAACUGCCAUGGAUUUCAAAAACACAGAUCAAUUUGAGGCUGAAGCCAUAAAAAUAAUCCUAUUAAUUAUGUCAGUAUGGUUCUUCCUGUUAAAAUAUACCCCUACAGAUAUUGAAAUGAAGCCUUAGUGGAUAAACAUUUCUGAUUCUGUGUGUCUCCAUAGUGUUUCAACAUAAAUGCUAGGUCAGACUUUGAGAACAGAGCAGCCCUUAUCCUCUGUCAUCAAAACAAUUCCAGGUGCUCCAAAUAUACUGGGGGUUUUUUGCUAAUUUUAUUAAUUGUAAUUGGGAUCAUUAUUAUAAAAGAGUAUGAUAAGGUUUUUGCAGGUGUCUAGCAUGACAUGUCUGCUCAAAAAAGAAAUUUAAGUAGAAAUAGGUCCUUUAAAUACCACCAAGUGAACAGGAACAGGACUUGAUGAAUUUAAUGACAGAAUCACGAUUCUGUCGAAGGAGAUUUGUUUUAAUAUAAUCCGGCUUGAUAGUAGCUACAAUUUCUGUUCACCUUCCCAAGAAACCAAUAUAUCAGACAUACAAUUUUUAUAUUUUCUUGUGACCUCCAGUCUAAGAGAAACUUCAGAAUUGUCAGCUCCAUGUGCCCACAUGGUGGUUAAGUAUUUAAGAUGGAUAGCAACACAUACUGUUUUAUAUUAUAUUUAGAAUAAAGUCUAUGAUUGGAAAGCAUUCCUGGUUUUGAGGAUAGCAUUAUACAGCACAGGUUACAAAGCUAUCAAUUCCUUUCACAUAUGCUAGUUCACGUGCUGGUUUCUAAGUAUCUAGAUAGUCAGUUGAUUUCUGAACUGUAACCUCUGAGUGCCUUGUACAUUUGCAUGCUGUAUAAAUAAUCUGUUAAUCUAUUCUAUGGGCUUUAUAAUAGUAAUUCACAAUUUGAAAAUUAAAUUGUUUAAUGCUGUGUACAUUGCAGAAUAAAGUUCAUAAUACAUUUCUUACCUUUGAUUAAAAUAUUGAUAAACAGCUUCACAGCUACUUAAUCUUGAAUCUGGUUUCAGUUUAUCUAACCUUGUGCAUAAUUUGGUGCUAGGGGGAAAUCCAGGCAUUUCCCCCUCUGUUUCAGACUACAUACCUUGGACCAGUGCUGGGGGAAGAUGGUUCCACCUGGAGGCCGCUCAGAUGCAUCUAGACCUCAGUAUAUUGCUGUUAAAUAAAGAAUGUUUGUAGUUGAAGCUUUGAAGUAAAGAGAUUUCUCUGACUAGCCGUGUCACAGACUGUCAUGUUGGACACACUGGCUAUUGUUUCAGCUUUUCACUCUGAAAAUUGGGGUAGUACAUGCUAUGCUGAUGUAUGAGCCUUUUUUCAUAGAUUAAUAAUUUAUAAAGGGAUCAUUAUAUCAUAGUAUGGCUCUAGGAUUUCAGCACGUAAUUCUUGCAUGAAUGAAGUCUAAUCAUUUGAGGUUGAGCUGUUGUUGUGCCUCUCUUAGAAGGAAAGCACUAAACACCCUUAUUUGUGUCUUUAAGAAGCCUAAAUUUUCAUGCUAGAAAUAACUUUCUGGUAUAUCAAAACUUUAAUAUCACUUUAUUGCUAUAUUUGUGAUUUUUUUGUCAUCUUCAGUUACAGUGUGAUUGAGCAGCUGAACUGCCAGCUUCUAGAAUUCAAUAUAAGACUCAGAUUUCUAUUUUUUAUAAAUCCUAGUAUGUGAGACCCAUUAACCAUGUCAAAUAACGAGAUACUUUUUGGUUCUAGAGAGUGUCCAGUUGUAUCAAGUUGAAAUAGUUAAAGCAAGAUGAUAAAGGGUUGGAACACCGAUGGUCUUAACGUUGGUUUAAAUUAUAGGAUUUGAGAACCCCAAGAAAUGAAUUCUUACUCCCAUUGCUUUGUGCUGUACAGUACAGUACAGAAAGGCAGACCAGGCCAAAUAGCUCACAGUUUGGCUGGCUGUAAAUGAACAUUGCUGAACAGUAGAAGUCCAGCAGAUGCUAUCUUGAUAUUACAUGAGUUAUUAAUUAAAUCCUAAUUGAUAGCUCAUAAUAUUCGAUCAUAUAAUUAUCAUAGAUUACUUGUUUAAUUAGCGCCUUUUUUUGCUGAUGGUCCAUGACUGAGUAUCGGUCCUCCCUGAUUUUUCCACCAGUAUGAAUUUUGUUUCUUUUAAAGACAGUACUUGUCUUCUGCACAAAUAUAUAUACAUGUAUGCUUUGGCAUUUACAAAAUAGGUAUUUCAACUAGAAAGAGUGAUUAUUUAUUAAAUUACAUUUAAUUUAUAAAUGUAAUUUAUUCUAUUUUUCUUUUUUUGGAAGCUGACAGUGUGUCCUGCUUAGAUGGACCAAGAAAACGUGGAUAUUGGAGCGUGUACUCCACUUGUUAAUGUCAUCUGCACUGACAAUGGGGACCUUUAAAUAAACACUUCUAAUUCUCAUUUCAAAUUAAAUCUAUUUUUUUACAAUAUAAACUAUAUUUCAUGACAAUGAAAAAUAUUUCUAAGGAGUAGGAACAAUAGGAUCAUAUAUAUACAUGAUUUAAUUGCAGUGUAAAUAAUGCAUGUCACCCAACUGAUCCAUUUUUAAAAUAAAAUUUGGUUUAAUUUUCCUCGUCUACAUGUAUCAACUUGAUAAACCUACCCAUAAGCCCUACUGCUGGAUGUGUUUCCUAUCUUUCUAUCUUUGUACCUGUAUGUAUCGUUUGGUAUCUCUCUACUGCAUAAAACAGCAGAUUUUAAAUGAAGAAUUUCAAAAAUGAGGAUUCUUUGAAUAAAAUGUUUUGAUUGUGUUGAUCUUUAUAAAGACCACUUUCCUGCCCUUUCUUUUUCCUUGGCACUUUCAUGUCAUGACUUUAAGAUGUAGUUCCACAAAGACUUUCCAAAUCUGCUGCCAUUAUUUGGGAAGAGGAAAUUAGGACACAGGCCUUAGCGCCUGCUGCAGAAGUGACAGGGUAAUAUAAAAAUGUUAAUGUGCAGAUGAAGAUUGAUUUAAAAACUCAUUCUGCUCUGUCUUAAGAUUACGAAGAGUCAAGAGUCGUACUUUCAGGUGCUGCUGAAAGCUGGAUUUACAGUCUUGAAAACAGAAGUCAGUUCCUUACAUGUAUCAUGAAUAAUGAUGUGCUACCCUCUGCCAUGGCAGUACCCCACAGAUGGAUUAAAAGGACCAUCAAGGAGUGGAAAGAUAGUUUCUCUGCCUAUCCAGUCCUGUUCACUUUAGGAUUGCUCCCAGGUUGGAAAAAAAGGAAGUAGUGAAAUGCACUUCAUCUUCAGCCUGAGAAAUAUUUGAGCCAUUAUUUAAGGGAAAAAAUAUUUCCUGCUUUUACGUACUUUUUUUUUUUAGUGCAAUGAAAAUGGAACUGGAGCGUGCGUGAUACCACUAAUACACAACCAACCAUGGAAAAAGAUGGCAUUUAUUUAAAUAAAAUUUUGAAGUCUAACUGAAAGC